rnacentral:rRNA from 1 species
UACGAAGGGGCUAGCGUUGCUCGGAAUCACUGGGCGUAAAGCGCACGUAGGCGGCUUCUUAAGUCAGGGGUGAAAUCCUGGAGCUCAACUCCAGAACUGCCUCUGAUACUGAGGAGCUCGAGUCCGGGAGAGGUGAGUGGAACUCCGAGUGUAGAGGUGAAAUUCGUAGAUAUUCGGAAGAACACCAGUGGCGAAGGCGGCUCACUGGCCCGGUACUGACGCUGAGGUGCGAAAGCGUGGGGAGCAAACAGG